rnacentral:rRNA from 1 species
AGAGUUUGAUCCUGGCUCAGAACGAACGCUGGCGGCGUGUUUAAGACAUGCAAGUCGCACGGGAUUGAAUGAGUAGUAAUACGAGUUCAGUCUAGUGGCGCACGGGUGAGUAACAUGUGAAUUACAUGCCCUAUAGUGGGGAAUAGCCCAGGGAAACUUGGAUUAAUACCCCAUAGUCUCGCAAGAGUAAAGGUGGCCGCAAGGCUGUCGCUAUAGGAUUGGUUCGCACCCUAUCAGCUUGUUGGUGAGGUAAUGGCUCACCAAGGCUACGACGGGUACCUGGUCUGAGAGGACGAUCAGGCACACUGGAACUGAGACACGGUCCAGACACCUACGGGUGGCAGCAGUCGAGAAUAAUUCACAAUGGGGGCAACCCUGAUGGUGCAACGCCGCGUGGAGGAUGACGGUCUUCGGAUUGUAAACUCCUGUCAUCUGGGAGUAAGACCUGGCGAUGAAUAGUCGACAGGGUUGAUAGUACCAGAAGAGGAAGGGACGGCUAACUUCGUGCCAGCAGCCGCGGUAAUACGAAGGUCCCAAGCGUUGUUCGGAAUCACUGGGCGUAAAGGGAGCGUAGGCGGCGUGGUAAGUCAGAUGUGAAAUCCCGGGGCUCAACCCCGGAACUGCAUCCGAUACUGCCAUGCUAGAGGAUUGGAGAGGUAGCUGGAAUUCUUGGUGUAGCAGUGAAAUGCGUAGAGAUCAAGAGGAACACUCGUGGCGAAAGCGAGCUACUGGACAAUUCCUGACGCUGAGGCUCGAAGGCUAGGGUAGCGAAAGGGAUUAGAUACCCCUGUAGUCCUAGC